rnacentral:rRNA from 1 species
AGAUUGAACGCUAGCGGGAUGCUUUACACAUACAAGUCGAACGGCAGCGCGGACUUCGGUCUGGCGGCGAGUGGCGAACGGGUGAGUAAUGUAUCGGAACGUGCCUAGUAGCGGGGGAUAACUACGCGAAAGCGUGGCUAAUACCGCAUACGCCCUACGGGGGAAAGGGGGGAUCGCAAGACCUCUCACUAUUAGAGCGCCGAUAUCAGAUUAGCUAGUUGGUGAGGUAAAGCUCACAAGGCCGCGAUCUGUAGCUGGUUUGAGAGGACGACCAGCCACACUGGGACUGAGACACGGCCCAGACUCCUACGGGAGGCAGCAGUGGGGAAUUUUGGAC